rnacentral:misc_RNA from 1 species
UGUGGGAGGGGGCUUGCUCCCGAUAGCGUUGGCUCAGUCAGAGUACUGAUAACUGACCCACCGCUAUCGGGAGCAAGCCCCCUCCCACA